CCUUCCCAAAACCCACCCAAACUUGCAGGGCGCGCGCCGCGCCGCGCUGCGCUUCGCAUUUGCUCUCGCGCACGGGUUGAUAAAGUGUGAUGUGAUGGCAAAGUUCGUCUCAUCCUUCUUAACAUCAAGUGGAGGGAAUACGUUCUUCUUAAACCACGAUGCCAAACGCACGUGCAGCAAACACGGUGUGGAAUGAUUUGGUGGAUUUGAUGUUUGGAUCUGUUUGAUAUCCAGAUGAUGGGCGAUCUAUACGAGCAGCAUAGGUACGUGGAGGUCUGACUCGGCCGCUGGAGAAAGUGAUGGCAGUGUUUCCUCGUGAUGUAACUGGAGCAACAGACCUUCCAACUUGGAAAUCUGUUAAUAUUAACCAAGAGAUGUUGGAGGUGGCAGAUGAAUGAAGAAACGAGCUCAAGGAAUCAUCCGAAGGAUCUGAUUAAGAUCUUAUUCUGUAACUAUGAAAACAUUUAAUAAUAACCAUAAUAUAAUAUAAUGAUCUCUGGUAUUUUAUGCAUGUAAACUAUUUCCAUGAUGCUACAUUGUUUUGUUUUUCUGUUUAAAUAAACACAUAUGUUUGAGUA